ensembl:lncRNA
CCUCGUCAGCGACUCAACAGGGUGGGAAAAGGGGGCCUCCCUGCUCUUCUUCGCAAAAAACACCACCACGUCCAGGUGUGCUGCUGGGCGAAAAGAAGAGAAAUCAUAAUUUAAAUUAAACAGUAUUUGGAAGGGGAAAGGAAGGAGAUUGCAAGAACUUCAGCAAAUGACAAAGCCAGCCAGAUGGAGUACUGUGGGUUGUACUGCAGAGCACACUGCAGAGAUUUGGACAAGACAGAAUUAUUCUUGGAAUGGAUUUCCAUGCACUUCAGAAUUUACAACUCUUGUAAGAUAUGUUCUUGUGAAUGAAUCAGUGACACCGAUAGCGAGAUGGAGUAAAGCUGAUCUAAAAGUUUUGUUUUCAAGAAAGUACUGCCUCAAGAUAACAAGAAUGGAAAGUCAAAUGUCUUCUACGGCAACCUAAUGCAAGUUAAGUUGAGUGUUGCCAGCAGGCCGAGGGAGGUGAUCCUUCUGCUCUACUCAGCACUGGUGAGAUGCAUCUGGAAUGCUGCGUUCAGUUCUGGGCUUCCCAGUACAAGAGAGACAUGGACAUGCUGGAG